GGCUCUGUAGCUUAGUUGGUAAAGCACUUGUCUAGCGAAUAAGGGUCGUGAGUUUAAAUCUCACCUGAGCUA
rfam:Aedes albopictus isolate Foshan contig113193, whole genome shotgun sequence.